rnacentral:rRNA from 1 species
CCUACGGGUGGCAGCAGUAGGGAAUUUUGCGCAAUGGGCGCUAGCCUGACGCAGCAACGCCGCGUGAAUGAUUAAGCCCUUCGGGGUGGAAAGAUCUGUCAGUGGGGGCGAAACUUGCCGGUAGCCACAGAGGAAGCACCUGCUAAAUCCGUGACAGCAGCCGCGGUAAUACGGAGGGUGCACGCGUUUUCCGGAAUCAUUGGGGUUAAAGAGUUCGUAGGUGGCAUAUUGAGUCUGCUGUGAAAUGCAGAGGCUCAACUUAGGUUCGGCAGUGGAUACUGGUAUCCUUGAUUGCGGUAGAGGUAAGGGGAAUUCCUGGUGUAGCGGUGAAAUGCGUAGAUAUCAGGAGGAACUCCGGUGGCGUAGGCGCUUUGCUGGACCGUAAUUGACGCUGAGGAUCGAAAGUGGGGGUAGCAAAUGGGAUUAGAUACCCGGGUAGUC